ACAGAGGGGAUUUAUGAGGACAGACAGGCAGAGGGGGUGUCUGGGGAUAAAUAGAUAGACAGACAGACGGAGGAGGUGUAUGAGGACAGACGGAGGAGGUGUAUGAGGACAGGCAGGCAGACAGACGGAGGAGGUGUAUGAGGACAGGCAGGCAGACAGACAGAGGGGGUGUCUGGAGACAGACAGACAGACAGAGGGGGUUUAUGAGGACAGACAGACAGACGGAGGAGGUGUAUGAGGACAGGCAGGCAGACAGACGGAGGAGGUGUAUGAGGACAGACAGACAGACAGACGGAGGAGGUGUAUGAGGACAGGCAGACAGACGGAGGAGGUUUACGAGGACAGGCAGACAGACAGACAGACAGAGGGAGUGUCUGGAGACAGACAGGCAGACAGAGGGGGUUUAUGAGGACAGACAGACAGACAGACGGAGGAGGUGUAUGAGGACAGGCAGGCAGACAGACGGAGGAGGUGUAUGAGGACAGGCAGACAGACAGACAGACAGAGGGGGUGUCUGGAGACAGACAGACAGACAGAGGGGGUUUAUGAGGACAGGCAGGCAGACAGACGGAGGAGGUGUAUGAGGACAGACAGACAGACAGACGGAGGAGGUGUAUGAGGACAGGCAGGCAGACAGACAGAGGGGGUGUCUGGAGACAGACAGACAGACAGAGGGGGUUUAUGAGGACAGACAGACAGACAGACGGAGGAGGUGUAUGAGGACAGGCAGGCAGACAGAGGAGGUUUACGAGGACAGGCAGACAGACAGACAGACAGAGGGGGUGUCUGGGGACAGAUUCGGCAAUUGAGUGGUGUGGGUGGGCCAGCCACCCUUCCCAUGCUGACCCCCCAGCUCCGAGCGGCGCUGCUUGGCCGGGGGGCUG